rnacentral:lncRNA from 1 species
UCAAGCGUGUUUGUUGGCAGACGAGCUCAGGAAAGGGACAAGCAGUGGCUGGAGCAUGUGCAGCAGGAGGAUGAGCAUCAGCGACCAAGAAAACUCCACGAGGAAGAAAAACUGAAAAGGGAAGAGAGUGUCAAAAAGAAGGAUGGCGAGGACAAAUGCAGACAGGAAGCACAAGACAAGCUGGGUCGGCUUUUCCAUCAGCAUCAAGAACCAGCUAAGCCAGCUGUCCAGGCACCCUGGUCCACUGCAGAAAAAGGUCCACUUACCAUUUCUGCACAGGAAAAUGUAAAAGUGGUAUAUUACCGAGCACUGUACCCCUUUGAAUCCAGAAGCCAUGAUGAAAUCACUAUCCAGCCAGGAGACAUAGUCAUGCUGCUUUCUCUGUAAUUACCAUGGGCUAGAAGAAGC